rnacentral:lncRNA from 1 species
UGGUUGCUAAUAAAAUGGCGAUUAGCGGGUGGUUAAGAAGUGAUAAGUGGUUUCACCCCCUAUGAAACUUAUUUCACCCCUGCAGGUGAAAAUUCUGUGAAUGAAAAUUCUGUGAAUUCAAUAAACAUCAACAAGCAGAGAAAACAAUUCAAACCUAUUUAGAGGAAAUAAAGAAAAUCCACAACCAAUUGGGCAUGCAAUAUGACAUAAUAAAACUAAGCCUCAGAAUGCUCAUAAUGCAAAGUGGUAUUAACAACAGCCCGAGGAUGUCAAUUCUAUCAACAAUUUAUGUAGACAACCGAGAGAUAUUACAAACAAAACAGAGAGAAGGAAAUGCAUAUAAUCAGAAUGAUCCAUAGGCAGGCAUCAACAAGGAACAAAUCUAGGUCUGGAUGAGACUUUAACAUGCAGAAUUCUCUUCCCCCUCUUACUUUUUCCCUUUUUUCCAUGGCUCACUAACUCUCAAACUUCAACCAAAUAGGAGAUAAUACUAAUCCAGAGAUACAUGAUUGGAGAGGGUCCCUUGGGGAUAAAAAUGUCACCUGGAGUUAUAAAAAUGAACUGUGGAGAN